rnacentral:lncRNA from 1 species
GCAAAAAGUUUACAUUCCAAUAUAAAUAUAAACUAAUUAUAUUGCAAAAAGUUUACACUUGUUGAGUUCCCUUCGAAUAUGAUUACAUACUGUAACCAUAAAUAGUUGUAAAUUAUGGACCCUAAUCUUACACAUGGCAAAAUCUUAAACUAGCAUGCAUUAGACUAAUUAUGCACUUGCAUGUACACGAUCAUUGCUCUCUUGAAAAUGGGAGAAAAAAACCAAAUCCAUGCAUUAAAUUUUCACAACCCAGAAUAGAGAAAUUUUAAACAAAAAAAAAGAGCUUCCACAUGACCACUGAACUGGCACCACAUCUUGUCUUUAUACGCAGUAGGAGCAGAAGCAGAGAAAAAACACUUUCAACACGCAACAGAACUUCCUCUUUU